GGGUUCCCUUGGUAACAGCGGUACACAUUGCACUGCAAAUAUUCCUGCCGAGGUAACAACAAAGCGGACGACCUUAGCUGCUCGUCUGUAUAACAAGUUAUUACAGUGCUCGUGUUGACCGAGAUACAGCUGCGUGCAAGACUUAUUACGGGAGGGACAAGCAAAGGGAGGAAAUGCGUGAAGAUUUGACUUUAGCAAAAAAAGUUAAAAGGAGAACCCCGGACGUCAAGGGACGGAUUAUGGGUUGUGUGGGCCCCUGGGCAAAACGUUCGCGAGGGCGAACAUGCACUGAGUGACAUGCACUGAGUGACCACCACGUUAGGUACCCCUACAUAACAUAGGGUGGGAACCUCUUUGCCUUCAGAAACCCUCAAAAGGUAGAUAAAUUGAAAAAGAAAAUGUUUUCUGCACACCUCUCUUGCUAGUUUUGCACUGCAUAUGUUAGGUUUAGAACUGGCCAUUCUCCACUAACAAGGUGUUUUCAGCCACAGAAAAAGCCACUAACUACAUGUUCUUCAAUCUCCAAGAACUGUAGACUAUCAAGAUUGGUCCCUGUCUAGCCCUGUUCAGUCCGUCAUCCGGUGAUGCUGCCCACCCCAUUUUACUGAUAUUUCCCUAGGUUUGCAUUGUUCUAUUCCCUAUUGUCUUUCCCUUCUCCUUGGGCUGCCACGUUGAUGAAUGAACCAAGCGAAGCAGCUGAGAACUGUGCUGUCCUAAUGUCAUGUGUUGGACAUUUUGUUUCCAUUACCCUUGAUAAUUAUGUAUUUUUGCCAGCAUGGAUCCUUGUUUUGUUCCUUUGUUAGUUCUCUCUGUGUGUAUCUAGUUUCUUGUACUGUUCUAUAACCCUUUGUUGUAAUGUUCUAUAACCUUUUGAUGUAAUGUUCUAUAACCCUUUGUUGUAAUGUUCUAUAACUCUAUGUUGUAAUGUUCUAUAACCCUUUGUUGUAAUGUUCUAUAACCCUUGGUUGUAAUGUUCUAUAACCAUUGGUUGUAAUGUUCUAUAACCCUUUGUUAUAAACCCAUGUUUCUAGUCUCUCCUUUUGUUUGCAUCUGUAGUGAUUGUUUAUCACCCUCACCUCUUGUCCUCCUAGCCUAGUUUGGUUGAUUACCAAGAGCCUGCACCUGUCCCUUGUUGAAACCCUUGUUAUCUACGUAUUAAUGUGUCUGCCCUUCCCUUGAACCUCAGUCAGUCAUUGUAUUUUGUUUCUGUGUAUUUUCCCUCAUGUUUAGUGUAGCUUUCAUUUAGUUCUCAUUUUGCCUGUCUGACUGUGUUUGGACCCCUUGACGUCCCUUUCGGUUUCUUGUCUUUCCGAGUUCUGUUUGCAAUAAAUUCCCUUUUUGUUGGUG